GUUGGGGUCCCAUCCCUCCAGGGUAGCAGAGACUCUUCCCAGCCCUUUCCCUUCUGCCAGGGUUGUGCACAGAGCAAGCAAUUGGGAAGAGUCCUUGUCGUUGGUCCCCGCUGGGCCCCAGUGACACAGCCGUUUCCAGGCCAGCAUGAACCCGGAGGGCAGCUGGUUCUGUUGCUUUCCUUCCAGAUUUGGGAAUGGGAGGGGACUCUGGCUGAGGCUCCUCAGACCCACCAAUAAGCCAGUUGUUCCCUCUCAGACCCUCUCCCCUGUCUGGCCCUGGAAAUUCCUCUGCUUCCUCUGUCUGCACUGUCUAGCUGUCUUGCUUCCCUCUCUGGGAGGGCCCGGCAUAAUGCAUCCAAAAAAACCAAGGGUAGAAGUUGUUUUCCUGUAACUUCUGCUUCAGGAAAUGGCUGGCUACCUUCCGAAGAGGGAGAGAAAAUUACUUUCAGAAUAAAAGACAAAUUAACAUCUCGAAUUCGUCUUUGCGAAGAAAAGAUUUUAAUGUGAAAUUACCUGGGGUAUCAGGUCAUUGUAAUUCCUGUCCAUCGGGAACAAGCACUUCAGCAUCAUUCCCACAUGCAAGAAUCUCUAACCAGGCUUCGGAUUUGGAGCGGAGAUGAUGUACGGUCCUGUCUUUCAUUCUCUUCCCACUUCAGCACCUCUUUUGGAGUGGAGGUGGCGAGCUUCGUCUGGUUCGGGAGGGACCACCCCCUCCUCCUCCUUCUGAGCCUAUUCCAUCAGCGUUAAGACUGGCAGAGGAGACAGAGCCGCUGUUAGACCACAAGAUGCCUUCCUAAGAAUCGUCCCUUACUUGUAGAAAGCGCUCAAUAAAUAUGUGCAGAAUGAAUGAAUGAA
rnacentral:lncRNA from 1 species